rnacentral:rRNA from 1 species
UACGUAGGGGGCGAGCGUUGUCCGGAUUUAUUGGACGUAAAGAGCUCGUAGGCGGCUUAGCAAGUCGGGUGUGAAAACUCCAGGCUCAACCUGGAGACGCCACUCGAGACUGCUAUGGCUAGAGUCCGGUAGGGGACCACGGAAUUCCUGGUGUAGCGGUGAAAUGCGCAGAUAUCAGGAGGAACACCGGUGGCGAAGGCGGUGGUCUGGGCCGGCACUGACGCUGAGGAGCGAAAGCGUGGGGAGCAAACAGG